AAGAGGUAGGGAUGCUCGGUCAAACUCCUCCAAUCACCUGCGGCGUAAGCUCGGGGUUUCACCCACCAUUGCAAAGCCGCGAACCUGGGCAUCCUCCUCUGUCCCACCCGGACGUGGAUGCAGGGCCGGGCUGUUGGGUGUCAGAGUGAUUAGUACUGGACCCUGGGGUCGGAGAGCUCAGCGUCCGGGUCCUGAGGCGGCCGCUUGCGAGCUGGAUGGGCUUGGGGCACGUGACCUCCCUGCCCCACAGCGGACGAGAUGUUCACUGACCUCAUGGCCACGGCGGACACGCAGAGGCUGUGUGAGAGCUUCUGGACGCACGGAGUGGCGGGCAGAAUGGGAGACCAGGUGCUGAGGGAAACGCAGCGUAAAAUAGUGUUGGCGGAUCGCUCCACGCCUGCCCAAUAGACACCUGGGACCCCUGCUGCCCAGCACACGCGCAGAUCGUAACCCAGUGUGCUUUGCGGGAAGAGCAGCGUGGCAGCGCAGAAGAGCCAGAGCCAGCAAACACGGUGACGAGCUCCGAGCCAGGACUCCCCAGGACGCCCAGGGUCCCAAGUGAGAUGGGGCCUCACCCGCCAGGUGCUUCCGUAGUUUAGAGUCAGAAGCAGGCUUACCAACCGUCAGAUGAGACGUGUUCCGCCCUCCCUCCUGACAGACUUGCGCAGCACUUAGAAGGCCAGGCUCGGGUGUGAAGUUCUCAGACUCUGGCCCCCAGGCCCGUCCUGUCCCGGCUCCUGGGUCACCUGGCAUCGGGAGCGACCUCGUGUGGCUGCGUGUGGGCAGCCCGGCUCCCACGUGCGGACUCGGUCCGCUGACCCAGGGCGCCUCGGCCACCCCUCACGUCCACGUCUGUGCCUACUGCUGGGAGAAUGGACCUCAGGAGGAGAGAUCCAGAACGCACAUCUGGAGAUGAGCUGGGGGCCGCUGGGGCAGGGACUCCUGGGAGGGUCCCAGGUCCCUGGAAGGAGGGCUGUGGACUUGAAGUGGGCAGGCUCCUUUGGGGACUCAUCAUCACGUGGGGAGGGACACAGCCAGAAGGGGCCGGGGGAACGGUCUUGCCUGAUCUGAGUAUGGCUUUGCUUUGAUCAUUUCCUUAGAACGUCUCCGAGGAAGAUAAAGGGGGAGAGUUUGGCAGGAUUGAAGAACCCAGGGCACUGCCAUAUAUCUGACAUUGGGGAAAACACACAAACAAAAACAACCCAGUGCCCGAAAGGAGGACGUGUUAAGACAGCAGACAUGGGGAAGCUAUUCAGGGAGAUCGUCCACUACCGGUGCCACCGGGGAGUACCCACACGGCAACAUGGGAUGAUGUACGUGCAGGUGUAAGACAGCUGUGGGAACAUCUGUGUACCCCAGGGGAGGCCUGGGAGCUGGUCUGCAGACGUGACGACAGCUGCCCACAGGGGGGUCUAGGAGAUUUCUUCCCCGGGCUGUCGGCUGUGGCUGGGGAGAGGCAAGGACUUCGGGGUCUGGCAGGUGGGGCCCCGUGGGCAGGAGCCAGCCGGGUGCGGGGUUCGGUGGCUGGUUGUUGGGUCCUGCAGGUGGAUGUGGGUUUCGGCGGCUGGUUGCGGGGUCCUGCGGCCGGUUGGGGGGUCCGGCGGCUGGUUGCGGGGGUCCGGCGGCUGGUUGUUGGGUCCUACGGCUGGAUGUGGGUUUCGGCGGCUGGUUGCGGGGUCCUGCGGCUGGAUGCGGGGUCCAGCGGCUGGGUGCGGGGUCCGGCGGCUGGCUGUUGGGUCCUAUGGCUGGAUGCGGGGUCCGGCAGGCUGGAGCGGCUGGUUGCAUCACUGGUUUUGCGUACUCUGCUCACGGCUGCCGGGAUGCACAGACAAGCGUCUGUUGGCAGCCACUCGGGAGCCGAGGAAGCACUUCAGGCCUUCGGCCCGCUCGGCGCAGGGGGAGGCGUCGUGAGUCCUCCGGAGACCCCGUCCGGCCCCGCGCCUCCCCCGGAUGCCGGCCCGCGCCACCAGCCGUGCCUUCGAGCCUGCCGUGGAGGCUCACGCUGCUCUCUGCCGCACUUACUGAGCGCUUACCGUGCGCCGGUCCGAAUGUGCCCGUGUCAGAGCCCCGGCAGCCGUGGUGAGAGCGAGCCUGGGCACCGCAGGCCGGCGGGGAGCAGUGGCCCCACGUCGCACACCUGGGAGGGAGAAGCGGGACUUGGAACUGCAGGUUCCAGCUGUGCGCAUUCACCCGGAAACCAAAAGGCAGAUGCCCCAGCGCCCCUUCGUCUGGAGGCUGGAGGCGGUCGGGGCUCACCCCCCGCGCCGCGUCUCCGCGGACCUCAGACGGGUCAGGCGGUUAAACGCGAAACCCACCGGGCACUUGGGCGGCUCAGUCGGCUGAGCGUCUGACUUCAGCUCGGGUCACGAUCUCAGUUUGUGGGAUCGAGCCCCGUGUCUGGCUCUGUGCUGACAGCUUUGCACCCUCUCUCUCCCUGUCUCUCUGCCCCCCUCAAAAUAAACACUAAAUGCGAAACCUACCAAGCAAACCAUGGAACAAGUAGAAGAAAAAGCAAAGGCCUGCCCGCUCUUGGGCGGGGCCUCUUCCUGCGACCCCGUCUUCUGCACACCUUCCCCUGUCAGUGUCCCGGGACACCAAGGCUGCCGGCCUGCCUCCUACAUCUCCGGCCAGCCUCCCAGGCCAGCUCCCUGUGCCCGGCCUCUGCAUGAUGGAGCCCUGGGGCCUCAGUUUCUCACUUCUUCUCUUUCGUACUUUCUUCCUAUGUGGUCCUCGGGGCUCUGGCCUUUGUCAUUAUUACCACUGCCAGCGCCUCCCCCCAAUGCCUGUGACUCCAGCCCUGACCGCCAGCCUGCAGACACUUAACUAUUCUCCAUGGAGAGACAGGAGGAGUGACAGAGGAAAGGAGGAUAAGGUAAAUAAACAUUAAAGAAAAAUUGAAAUAAACCGAAGAGGAUGUAAUUAGACUGAGAAAUACUUGUGACAUAAGCACAAAGAAUGGCAAGUGUGCGAAGUAUUUGUCUGUUGGACGAGUACGCAUCGAACACCUACUAUGUGCUAGGAGGGGAGGAGACAGAACGAAACCAGCACCGUCCAUCUUCAUGGAGCUUUGAGUCUGACGGGGAGAUGAACAGUGAAAGUCAGGAGAAAAGAAACUGAGAGGUUCUGCCCCCAUCUAACUGCGGUGCGAUCUAGCCGUCACACGCGUGUCUCCCUGGCUCGGCCGGGAGCUCCCGGAGAGCCGCUCAGCUCCUCUCUGUGUCUCCAUCGCCUGGCCCGUGCUUACUGCUCUGAGGUUUUGGAGGAAAGAGUGUGUCCCAUGGAGCGGGCGGAAGGGUAAGAACAACCGGGCAGGAGCAGAAUGUCCAGAGCAGUUGCCGAAUUCUGCAGCGGGGGGCAGAGGAGAGUUCUCUUACGGGGCCCUCCAGGCACCUGCAGACCAAGGCGGGCAGGCCGAGCGGGUGGACAGCAGCCCUAGUCUGGAGAGACCACGCGGGGCCCCAGAAGCCGGGGUCCUGCGUGAGAGGCACAGCACCUGCCCACAUCCAGGACCGGUACGGAUCUAGGACCAGCCCAGACGCCCGCAGGGGUAGAGGGCCGCGAGCGGUGGCCUCCCGUUCAGGAAGUGCCUCAAAUUUAGACUUGGGGUUGUCUCUCAACGAGGUUGUAAAUACGGACACGGAGAAACACCAGUGGGAUUGGAGAAAAAAAAGCUUAAUGGUUUCGUGCCUGUGUAUCAUGACCAGACUAUAUUGCUCCCCACGUAUUGUGACACUCUUGUAAAUAAAUCCUGCCGUCUGGGAGUUACCGUGA